rnacentral:rRNA from 1 species
UACAGCGGGGGGCAAGCGUUGUUCGGAAUUACUGGGCGUAAAGGGCGCGUAGGCGGCCUUCUAAGUCGAACGUGAAAUCCCCGGGGCUCAACCCGGGAACUGCGUCCGAUACUGGAAGGCUUGAAUCCGGGGAGAGGGAUGCGGAAUUCCGAGGUGUAGCGGUGAAAUGCGUAGAUAUCUGGAGGAACACCGGUGGCGAAGGCGGCAUCCUGGACCGGCAU